UACGGAGGGUGCAAGCGUUAAUCGGAAUUACUGGGCGUAAAGAGUGCGUAGGUGGUUGAUUAAGUUAUGUGUGAAAUCCCUGGGCUUAACCUGGGCAGGUCAUAUAAUACUGAUUGACUCGAGUAUGGGAGAGGGUAGUGGAAUUUCCGGUGUAGCGGUGAAAUGCGUAGAGAUCGGAAGGAACACCAGUGGCGAAGGCGGCUACCUGGCCUAAUACUGACACUGAGGCACGAAAGCGUGGGGAGCAAACAGG
rnacentral:rRNA from 1 species